CCUGCCCCUUCCUCUGGGGUUGCGAACGGCCCCCGAGCCUGGUACAGGCUGGGAUUGUAGUCCUGCAGCCUUGUGGCCGAAGGGCUGGGACUGGCCAUGAGAUUACAUGUCCUAGCAUGCUCAGCCAGGCGCGCGCAGCUCUGCCCCUUCCUCCAGUGAUGCGCACAGUCCCUGAUCCCUGUGCACGCUGGGAUUGUAGUCCUGCAGCCCUGCGAUCACUUGCCGGUAACAAGAAAUUUCAGCUCCCGGCAUGGUAGGCGAAGGCCCCCACCUUCAGCCUCGCUCCUCCAUGCCUUCAGAGCAGUUCCGCCACGCAGAGGGGGAGCCUGCCUGUUCUUUAACCUCUCCUACCUGAUGGGAGAGGACAAGCUACCAGGGCAGCUUGUCUCACCAAGAAAUUGUGAUACCGCAUCCCCCAACGUGCUGGCUUCCUGACUUCCAAAGUUGCGGCAAGGUAAGAAGAACUACAGAGGAAGAACCUACUGCAGAUGUUUCCCAGGAGACUUUAAUUGAAGUAUCAGCAAAACUGAAAGAUGGAGUCUCAUUCUGUCACCCAAGCUGGAGUGCAGUGGCGCGGUCUUGGCUAACAGCAACCUCCGCCAGGUUCAAGCGAUUCUCAUGUCUCAGCCUCCCGGGUUCAAGCAAUUCUCCUGCCUCAGCCUCCCGGGUUCAAGCAAUUCUCCUGCCUCAGCCUCUCGAGUAGCUGGGAUUACAGGCACGCACCACCACGCCCAGUCUUGCUCUGUUGCCCAGGUUGGAAUGCAGCGGCGUGAUCUCAGCUCACUGCAACCUCCACCUCCGGGGUUCAAGCGAUUCUCUCCUGCCUCAGCCUCCAGGACUCUUCUCCAAUAUAAAUUCCAUGAUGUUGAAUAAAGGUGGAGCAACUGCUUCAGGGUUUUCCUCUAGUA